rnacentral:rRNA from 1 species
AUUGAACGCUGGCGGCAUGCCUUACACAUGCAAGUCGAACGGCAGCACGGGUGCUUGCACCUGGUGGCGAGUGGCGAACGGGUGAGUAAUAUAUCGGAACGUACCUUAUUGUGGGGGAUAACGCAGCGAAAGCUGUGCUAAUACCGCAUAAUCCCUAAGGGGGAAAGCGGGGGACCGUAAGGCCUCGCGCAAUUAGAGCGGCCGAUACCUGAUUAGCUAGUUGGUGAGGUAAAGGCUCACCAAGGCAACGAUCAGUAGCUGGUCUGAGAGGAAGAUCAGCCACACGGGGACUGAGACACGGGCCAGACUCCUACGGGAGGCAGCAGUGGGGAAUUUUGGACAAUGAGGGCAACCCUGAUCCAGCAAUGCCGCGAGAGUGAAGAAUGCCUUCGGGUUGUAAAGCUCUUUUGUCAGGGAAGAAACAGCAGCUCUAACACAGUUUGCGAAUGACGGUACCUGAAGAAUAAGCACCGGCUAACUACGUGCCAGCCGCCGCCGUAA